rnacentral:misc_RNA from 1 species
UCCGGUUUGUCACCGGCAGUCUCAUUAGAGUGCCCAACUGAAUGUAGCAACUAAUGACAAGGGUUGCGCUCGUUGCGGGACUUAACCCAACAUCUCACGACACGAGCUGACGACAGCCAUGCAGCACCUGUGUUCCCGUUCCCUUUCGGGCACCCUCACAUCUCUAUGAGGUUCCGUACAUGUCAAGGGUAGGUAAGGUUUUUCGCGUUGCCUCGAAUUAAACCACAUGUUCCACCGCUUGUGCGGGUCCCCGUCAAUUUCUUUGAGUUUUAAUCUUGCGACCGUACUCCCCAGGCGGUCAACUUCACGCGUUAGCUGCGUUACUAAGGGAUUUAACUCCCCCAACAACUAGUUGACAUAGUUUAGGGCGUGGACUAC